CCUUCCGUGUCCACCCGCAGGCGACAAUACAGCAAGGAACACAUGAUUCAAACCCUUCUCGACAGCCUCCACCUGUGAACCCGGACGCGGUGGAGACAGCUCUGAUGCGUAGCCUGCCUCUUUACUUAUCCCAGACAGAAACUCUUCAAGAUCAAGGACCCAUUCUUCAUUUAAAAAAAAAGAAGAAGAAGAAGAAGAAGAAGAAAUUCCGUGUAAAUCCAGUAAACAUCAGAAAAUGCCAGACACAGAAUGGAAAUGAACUCUUGCUAUGACUUGAAUAUGGAAUAUUUUCCACAGGCUCAUAUGUUCAAACACUUGGUCUCCAACUGACAGCAGGGACCCUCACUGAUGGAUGGAGGAUACUGUAGACAGGCAUCUGAGGGAUGCAGUGUGGACCUUCUUCUGACCUAGUUCUCUACUUCCUGGCUGGUCAAGAUUCGAGCAGGCUCAUCCGUGAACAGGGCCAUGCCAGCCCAUCUUCCCUGCCUGAUGCUCAGUAAAUCUCAAGUGUGAAUCAGAACGAGCCUCUCUUCCUAGGAGUUGCUUUGUCUGCUAUUUUUGUCAAAGUAACAAGAGAAGUAACCACCACAACUCUGGGACCUAGACCAUCUUCCCACAGGAAGCAGUUGCAAAGAAUCUCCUGCCUGUAAUCACCCUUUAAUUAGCUGACAGAGGAGCCCAGCCACAUGCUCAGAGGAUAAAUACACUUCUGGCAAGCCUUAGGAUUUCGAUUCCCGGGAACCAUGUGGCGGAAGGAGGGGAUCAACUCCCACAGACCGCCCUCUGACCUCCAAACAUGCACGCAUGGGUGCCUGCGUGCGAGUGUGAGCGCGCAGAUGUUCCAUCUUACACACUCCUUAGGCUUCUCACUACAGAAUAAAGUCUACCCUGUAAUAAGAGAACUGGGUUCCGAACCUGAUUUCUCCAUGCGUCCCUAAGCCCUGGCCACACGUUUCAGCUCCUUGCCUUUGUAUACAGAGUUCCUUCUGCCAGGAAUCUCUUCUCUCUCACCCUGGAAAAUUCUCCCUCGGUGCGUAUGACCUCGUUCCCGAGUCUCUGUGCUACCGAGCCCUUUCAGGUCAUGCUCUGGGAGAACAAGCUGCUCGCUCCUCUGCUGGCACACACUGUUUAUUCCGACAGCGCAGUGCCUGCUCCAAGUUACUAUCUUCUGUCAUUGCCAUUUGAGUCCAAAAGCAAGGGCUGAAUCUCGCUUAGCUCUGGGUAUCAUGGAACCUGGAACUAUAUGCCAGAUAGUAAUAGGACCUCAAUAUGUUUUUCCUUUUACAUUCAAUUAGUCUAUAGAAUGGCUACAAAAAGUGAGAAUCUGACUGUGUACCACACUGCCAUACAGAGUAUGAACUACACAGUUCAUACAGAAUAUGAUAUAUUGUUAUAUAUUAAAUUGUUAUAUUCCCAACUACAUGUCAGGAUCCAUCUUUAUUUUAAAAGAAGAACAAAAAACACCAGAAGAAAACUUCACCAUUUUUUUUUUAUUUUUAAUUUUUUUGGUUUUUUGAGACAGGGUUUCUCUGUAUAGCCCCAGCUGUCCUGGAACUCACUUUGUAGACCAGGCUGGCCUCGCACUCAGAAAUCCGCCUGCCUCUGCCUCCCAAGUGCUGGGAUUAAAGGCAUGCGCCACCACGCCCGGCACCAUUUUUGUUUAAGUU
ensembl:lincRNA Gm42788 predicted gene 42788